CCGCAUACUACACAAAAUACAUAAAACAAUAAAUACACUACCACUGCACAUCACAUAACAUUUACAAACACACCUAAUACUUACUGCUAAUAAACAGAACUUCUCUCUGAUACUCAAAAAUUCUUCUCCCUCCAAGCGUGGUAUUUUAGUAGGGCUACUGAAAGCCAUUAUACCUUACAAAAACACCACAAAAUAGAGUCAGUUAAAAAUGCCUCACUACAAAAUAUACACAACCACUACACUAUGUACUACAACUACACAGAAGACAUGCAUAUAAAUUACCUUACAAAGUAGUGUACUACAAAAAUAAUGCCAAAACACAGCUUAAACCAGACCUAUGACAGACAACAAUGAGCCAAUGACAUUCUAUAUCGUUCAACUUUACAUACCUGUAACACACCUCCUCACAAAGACACCCCCUUUUAUUUCACAGACAUCAUACCUUAAAACACAUUACUUAAAAUAUGUUCUAAUGUUUAAACACAUUAUGUAUAAGACUAUGACUUUAAACUUAAACCAUGAAACAAUUAUUCUCAUAAAACUGAUAAAAUAUUUUAUCUAAACUUACAAUACAACACCUUUAACCUUGUUUCUGCCCUUGACAUUUUGCCUUCAUCACAUAAUAAUCUUACACCUAUUAAUUUUUUAAAACUCCUUAAAAGAAAAAAAUAAUAUUACCUUCACACAAAAUCUCAUUCACAAAUGAAAAUGACUAGCUUGUUUCUUCUUUUGUUUAUUAUUCAAAUAAAAUUAUACAUAACACAAAUUAUAAUUUUUGAUUGUUUCCCUCUCCAAACAUGAUACAUACCAAUGUUAACAAUGUUUCCAGAAUGUAUUAAUACACUUUGCACUUAACAUUUAAUAAGCCUUAAUAAAUGCUAUAUAUUCUUCAUGCUAAUUAAUAUAAAUAAAAACAACUAAAUGAAAUAUAACAAUAACAAUCUUGACAGUUUCAAUGCUUCCACUAGCAAGAAUUUUAUUUUAUUUCUACAAAAUCAUAAAAAAUUGCCUUACAAAUUGUCAUUUAUUUAAGUGUAAAUGCAAUAAUCUAAAGUAUAACAACUAGAACAUGUUUAAUUAAAACUAUUUAUAUGUUAUAUGUCAAUAUGUUUGCUGCUCUAAAAUCCUUUUAUAACCAAAAUACAUUUACAAUUACAGUUACAAUUUUGAUUUUUACUAUCCAGUACUCUGAUUUAACACAACUGUGACUAAUACAACAAUAUCAACUAUCACAAACUACACACAUAAAAAUGCUAAUAAUUAUUUUAUUUCUAACUCUAAAUACAUAUACCAAUAAUGAUUAUCUCUAAAACCAUACAAAGCAUGAAAAUAUUAAUACUUCUUUAAAAACAUAUCAGUUCAACUUUCAUGAUAACCUUAACAUUUCUGAAACACAUCCUUAUAAUACAGUAUUUGUAUUCUCUGAUUCAAAUCAUUAUCCUUUUAAGACCCUACAACCUCAUAUGAAGACAUUAUUUUAGUGCUUUUCUCUGAGACUAUACAUGCCACAAUUUUAAGUCUUGAUGUAAUGUACAGAGCACAUUUAGGGCUUUAUAGAGAAAAAAAAAAUAUUGGAUGUUUCGCCAUGACCACUCCCUCUCAUUUGUCUUCAAAUAUGUCUGAACUUAAUGUAUUGACUCUCUUAGAGAAAUAUGAUGAUAUUUUGUAAUUAUAAAUUAAAUCUGUCAAAUUUUUAAAUUGUGUCAUAAAUCAACAUCUCAAAAAAAAAACUUUUAUGUUUUCAAAUGAAACAAGACAUUGAUUUCAUAAACAAUCUCGUAUAAAAACAUCAACACCAAAAGCAUGUUUAUUGCGCAUUUUGGAAGACAAGACAAAUGAAUAAGGAAAUAAUUUAUAUCAGUUUCCUGUGAACUGUGUGUGUGUGUGUGUGUGUGCGUGUCUGUGUUUGUGUGUGUGUGUGUGUGUUUGUGUGUGUAUAUAAAUAAUUAAAUUAAAUUGUUUAUUAUUACACUUCUUUAUUCAUUACAUGUUGCCACAAAAAACAUGAAAAUUUAAUUUAAUUUAUAGAUACAUUAUAUAUAAUAAUAAAUAACAAUAUGGCAAUUUUUACACAUUUUGCCAAAGGAAAAAUGGUACAACAAAUAAAUCUGUUAUAAAAUAGUUGAGAAUCAUAUUUAUACAAAGCUUAGUAAAAACAAAAUCUUGAAAAAUAAACAUCUUUUGUUGAUUUUUUUUUUUUUUAAAUCCAUUGUUUUUGCUUAUGCAUGUUCAUCCAUGUAUUCUCAUUUUCUGAAAGAAAUUGAGUCCCCAACUGAGGACAAAGCAUAACAUAUAAAUGAAAUGUAUUUUUUUACUUUGUGUUUUUUACAUUAUUUAUGUUGCUCUUAACAAUGUGAAAGCCUUGGAACAAAAAAACUUUUUUUUUUUUUCCUAAAACUUUUUUUUUCUCAAACCUCAAACAGAUUACCCUAACAAUUUACACUUGCUAUACCCCAACUCUCCAAGUCAAGAUGUCUCUAGCCACCAAUCAACACUCUAUUGUUCAGCUAAAUGUGUCAGACCUUAGAUGAGUCACAAACCAACAUCAAAGUUUCAUGUAUGUCAUGCACAUGCCUUUUAUCUAACUUUUCAGCCAACAGCAUCAACUUGUUCACUUAAGACUGCCUGCCCACUCCGCCAACUCCUCCCAAGUCUUUGACUCUAAUUCUACCCUUUAUAAUCCCCACUAUAUCUAUGUGUAAAGUGCUACAUUCCUCAACACUGAACUACUGGCUUAAACUUUCCUGCCCAUACAUCAGUUCCAAACAAAUUGCAUCAAUGGAUCUACAAGGACACACAUCCAACACACAUCUCACAACCACUAUCUCCAAAAGAUCCUUUAUCAUACCCCAAGGAUUGCACGUCUGCUUCCUCACAGACUCAAUAUGUCGAGAUAUUAAAGACUACAUGCCAAAAGCACAAUGCUGGGUGCACCCAGGGACAACGCUUCUAAGAUCUGCUAUGCAACACACCAACCACUUUAAGACAGUACACAGCAAUAGCAUUGUGAUCAUUCACAUCGGAACAAAUGACAUUGCAAGUGGAGCACCUGCAUCAACAGUCAUCCAACGCAUGAAAACUCUCAUAAAAAGAAUAUCCCUCACUAAUCCUCACAUCCUUUACUAUGGAAUCAGUGCUAUCUUACCACAUCCGACAGAUAACUCUACAACUAAGAACACUGUCAAAGAGUUCAACAGCUUGCUUCGCUACUGGACUGAACAAACAACAAACAUAAUUUUUCUGAACACAACAAAACCAUUCCUAAAAAGUGGAAAAAUACUCUAUCACCUAUACAAGCAAGAUGGGCUACAUCUCACUACACAAGGAAAACAAAGACUUUUUGCCUACUUCCAGCGUUUCCUCUGGCAUUUUUGUCAUUUUCAAACUCCCACAAAAAAAUGUUUAACUAACUAACAUGAAAAAGUUUCACAUCUCUCUUGUUAAACUUGUUACUUCUUCCUGAAAAAAUAUAUAUUUUUUAAAUAAUAAAUUUUCUAUUCACAAUACAUCUGCAUUUUCAUAGAGUUUCAUUUUGCCUCUUAAGUGAUCACAACAUUCCUACAACUCUAUCAAAAACAAGCAUAAACAUUCACCACUUCACUAUCGUUUUGUUUAAAUGUAUAAUGCUAGUGCAUCCAAACUCUGCAUACAUGCAUGCUUCUACAAAAAAAAGGUAUAACAUAAUAUAACAUAAUGCCAAUAUACUGAAAAUGCAAAACUGCAAACAUAUUUACAAGAUAUUCAACAGUAUUACAAGUACAAUUUAUUUAAAAACGAAAAGUAUCUGUUCAAUUCACCAUUAUCUACACUAACACAUUUUUAGUGCACAUUAUAUUAGUUCCAAAUCAAAAACUUAACUUAAAUGUAUGUUACACCAUAGAACACUACAUCACACUAAAAUAAAAAUAGUUAUUUAAAUAUUUGUAUUUCAUUUUGAAAAUGUCAAAGUAAAAUAGUCUAAUUUCCAUACAAACAACAUCAACACUUUUCUUUUUUUAACAAAACAAAAUAAGUUCCAACCAAAAAACUUAGUCUCUUAGGCAAACACAAUGUCCCCCAGCUGCAUGUGUAACACAUAUAAUUGGUAUUCAAACUAUAUUCAUUAAGAUGUCAAAGAUUUUUAUUUAUUUAUUAUUAUUUAUUUAUUUUUAACCACAAUACUUAUCUUUUAUCUUUAAAACAUAAUUUUGCUUCUAUUUACUUUCUACACCAUUCUCUUACAUUCUCCUGGCUGCUGGUGAACCCUGUUAAUUUUCUAUCUAUCACAAAGUCAUUUAAUUAAUAUAAUUAUUACAUUUAAAAACACUAAAAAAAAAAAAAAAAAAAUCCCUUAACAUUCAAAUAAUUAACAUGCUUCUUUAAAAACUUUGUCAUCUACUAUGACAUUUGUUCCUAUGAUAUGACAGAGUACACUUGUGAACAAACCAUCACCUUAAAACAUUUCAGCCUAACCUAUCAUUAUCACUUUGGAAGACACAUUUGCAAAAUUAUAAAACAUAAUAAAAUAAUAAAAUAAAAAUAACAAUAAUAAAAAACAUAAUUUAGAAGUAUCACAUGAAAAAUUACAAAACAUGACACUUUUGUAACAGUCCCAAAAAGUUAAAUAUUUGAACAAUUUUGAGAAAAAAAUUGACCAUGUAGCCAUAAUAUACUUGACAAAGGACUUUAGUAACACAUUCAUAAAUAGAAUCCUUCAACUAAUUAAUUUUUUUUCUGAAAUUGGCCACUUCAAAAUCAAGAAAUAUUUUAUAUAUUGUUCUCUUGUGUGUUUAUCUGUGUGUUAUGUGUAGGUGUAAGACAAAAUCAAACAUUAAUAAAUGAUAUACAAUUACUAUUCAUGUUAAUUAAUAUAGUUAAUGUUAAUACCUGAAACCUUAUUGAAAGUUUUAACAAUCUUUUAUGUAUAGUAAUGCAUGUGGUUCUCUUGAUGGUUUAAAUUAACCCUUUUAUUGCUGUAUCCCUUAAAUCCAAACUACUAACCCUAACUAAAAUAAACUAUUUAAAGCUCUGUAACAAGCACAUGCUCUGGAAUUUGAUAUAUUUGUCAUAAAUGUUUUACCCGAUUGCCACCAAACUCGGUCAACAUGAUCACAUUGCCAGGGGAUUUUUGAUAUCUCAAACGGUUUGCUCGUGGCGAGGCGUUGAAAUUAUGGCGAGAAAUGAGAAACAGGAAGUGUCUAAUACCAUCCACAUACAUUUCCUGAUUUUAAUCAAACUUCAUCAGAUUAUUCUUUGUAUGAUGUCGAUCACAUAUAUGUGACUAUUAGGAGUCAAAGUUAUAGCGCCACCAACUGGCAGCAGGAAGUGUAUCAUUUUCAAAAUGCUUUGUAUUCAGCAUCUUAUUUUUACUCGAUUAACUUCAAACUUCAUCAGAAUAAUGUUAAAACACAGCCGAUAUUAAUCUGCUAGGGGGAUAUUGAUAUCUAAAAAUAUUGUUGCCGUGGCAACAUGUCAAACUUGAAUACUUCUCAGGUGAUUUUAAGGCAUAUAACAUACUUAGAACUUCAUGAAAUUCAGAACACAUAUCAGUAUUUAUGAUAACUAGACACUGGCAAAAGUUCAUAAGAGGGCGUGGAAGAGGCACUCUAUAGCGCCACCUUUUGUCAAAAGUGGGGGGGUUAGUUUUAGCUACAGACACCAAACUCGGUACAAAAAUAGUUCUUAUCAAGACGGACAACUUUCUAAUUCACAGUCAUCAGCUACGAUCAACAGGAAGUCAGCUAUUUUGAUUUGAAUGUGGAUUUUUUUUACAUUUAGCUGUGAAUUAAUGCAUACUGCUCAGAUGAGAGUAACACUAUACACACCAAACUUUGUCUACAUGUUGCCAAAACAUUUUAUACAACUUAAAUUGCCAAAGGAUUUUGGAUAGCUUGAACGGUUUUGUCGUGGUGAUUUUUUUAAAUGACAGUAAAAAUGGAAUUAUUAAUUGUCCUGCAUUUUUAAAUUCCAAACACUUCAAAACCUUUUUUCAUACAGAAAAAAAGUCAUUCUGAGUAAAUAUGGAUAGUUUCACGACUUUACAACACUGUAUGGAUAACAGAAAAUGUAAAAACUGUCAGACAUCUCAUCUCACUCUGUCCCUCUGUUUGAGUAUUAUGUGCUGAGACUUACAUUGUCUGAGAGAAAAUGCGCCCCUACAGGUUCAAUUCCUGAAAGGGAAAUUCGACUGAAAGGGAGGAGACUCUCUUUUAGUUUCAUUUUUAAAUCGGUUAAAAUACAAAUAAAUACUUAGAUUUAAUUCACACUGACAAGCUAAACCAACAUAUAUGAUUAUUACUGGGUCAGGGCUCAUUAAUAAUUGAUGUGUGGUCAGUGAUACGUGAGAAACACGAGAGAUGAAUCACCGCUCUGAGCAUGAGCGUGUGGAAUGACGAGCUCAGAAAAAACGAGUUUAUUCUUGUUUUAUAGCUUUAACAAAUAAAAUAUUAAAGCGAUAUCACACAAUUCACCAAUUAGAACACACCAAGAGCUAAAUUCAGAUGUUUUUGAACUGUUUGUGUGAAAAUGAAAUAUUCGCGGUUGCCUAUCUGAAAUCACUGCUCCGAUCAGCGCGUACAGUGUCACAAGUUCAAAACAAACGAAUUUAUUCUUGUGUAAGAGCUUUUUAAAAUAAAUUAUUGCCAUAAAUGCACACAAUACAUCCAUUAUAACACAACACGAGCUAAAUGCAGGUGUUUGUGACCCGUUUAAGUGUGCAAGACUAUUUGAAAGCGCGACUGGCAGAAUAACAUAUAUCUCUCGAGCUGCAGGAUUCUGCCUUUCGUCGUACGAACGAACACAUCAAGGACAAGAUUAUUUCAAAAUACAUAACAGCUUGGCGAAUAUAAACGAAAACAGCCACGUGGACAUAAACUGUUGAGAAAUAAAUCUGAAGUGGAUCUACUGGAUUUGAAUAUUAAGUGACCGCAUAUACCAGCUGCUUCUGUCUUCAAUUUUAAUCUAUAUAAAAAAUUAAACUCAUUCAUCUUGGCUGCUUUUUUUAAUAUGUGUACGUAUUUAUUUAUUAUUUUGCUCUAACAAGACUUAAUCUAUAUUUAAUUAAAUCAAUUACAUUUUAUUUUACAUUUGUUUGUCCAUUUCUGCAUCUAAACGCCUAAAAACCUAAAACAUGCUCUAUUAUACUAUUGUUAGCCAUUUCUUUAUCGUCCAAUUUAUCUGGUGUACACUUUUAUUUUCAUAAUAAACUUGUCUGUUAGAUUAUACACAGUUACAGUGGUCUAUAAUAAAUAUUAACAGGUUUUAUUCAAGCUGUUUAGAAUGAAUGCAGUAGGCUAAUUUUUUUAAAUGUAAAUCCAAAAAAAAAAAAAAAAUAAAUAAAAAAAAAAAAAAAUAAAAAUAAAAAAUAAAUAAAAAAAUAAAUAAAAAACAUUGGAAAAGAAUAACUGUUGUACUUUUUUUAUACAUUUUGUAUAAUUUCAUAGUUUAUGCAUUAUAGUUAUAAAAACAAAUAAAUUUAGCCACUCACAUAGAAAUCUUGGGCCUUAUCCUUUUCUGACAGUUUUAGGGAUUUUUAAAAAUCCUAAAAAAACUUAUUUGUGCUGCAAAUAAUAAUUUCAAAUUAAUUUGAUACUGACUUCUGACAUCCUGUGACAUGAUAUUUAUUUGAAUUUACAUAAUCUCAUGGAUGUAACAGUAAAUCUGUUCAGCUCACAGAUCAAGACUAAGCUGUAAUGCAAGCAGAACUUUCACAAAUGCUUGUAGGUCAAUAAAAUCAUUACAAAACACUUACAAAUCAUUUAAGGGAUUUGAUAACACUGUAAAAUAAUGUCUAAUUUGUUAACAUUAGCAAAUGCAUUGAUAACACUUUAUAAUAACUGCACUCAUUAGUAAAUAGUCAGUUCAUGCUUUAUAAAGCCUUGUCCCAAUAUUAACAGUCAGUAGUAAGCAGUUUAUAAAUACAGCUAUAAAUAGCUUGUUCUUGGUUUAUAAGCACAUUUAUUAAAAAGGAGAGUAAAGGGUCAGUUAUCUUCCUAUGAAACAUAAAACAAUAAAAAUAAACAAACAACAACACAGAUUGGUACAGAACUCAGAAAUGUUAUUGUGGAUUUAUGAUAAACUCAGCCUGUAAAUGAAUUCAUUCUCCUCCAAGAAGACACAAGUAGUUCACACCAAACUGUUUUAACAUGAAGCCAUAUACUGAAGAUGUUAAAUUUCGAAUGGGUUUAGGAUACCUUAAAUGGUGUGGCCAUAGCGAUAUAUUAAGUGAACAUGAAAUAAUACAAUAGUUAUUUUACUAUAUCUUUAAAAUUUUUAAUUCCAACUCUUCAUAAUUUUUUAUAUACGUAGAAAUCAUCAUUUGAAGGAAGCACAGUAAGUUUCAUAGCUUUAUCAUUUUCAAGAGCCAGCAUAAAAUUAAAACUAUCAUAACAUAUAAAUCAAGCUUGCAAUUCUUAGUACCAAUAAUGGCCACCAGAUGGAGCUAUAGGAUUACUUUUAAAUAAUUAUUGUAGAAACAAGUAUGAUUUAAAUCAUUUAUAGAAAUCUUUCAAAGAAAAAUAAUAUGUAUUUUAUGUAUUUCCUGAUAAAAUGACCCUCCCUUAAUUAGAAUAACAAGCUGAAGUAUUGUGAACCGUAUAUUAAGAAUAAUUCUUUAUAGGCUUUAUGGACAGAUACGUUUUGAGUGACUCUUGAAGGAUCAGCACCACAUCAUCUUUUACCACUGUUUAAAGAAUGUAUCUUACAGUACAGGUGCGGAUGAAUUUUGAAUGGCUUGAAUGGUUUUGUCGUGAUGAUUUUUUGAAAUAACAGUAAAAAGUAACCAGUAAAUGUCUUUUAUUUUUUUUAAGUGCAGCUCCUAAACACUUCAAAAAAAUGUACACAUAGAAGACAAGUCAUUCUGAGGAAAUAUGCAUAGUUUCAUGACUAUACAACACUAUAUGGAUGAUAGAAAAUUAAAAAACUAUCAUACAUCUGAUGUCACUCUGUCUCUCUGUCACUGUGGGUAAUGUGUGUGUGUGUGUGUGUGUUAAGUGAAUUAGGUGUGAAACUAUCAGGGAGCAUUUAGUCUCCAGCGCCAACAUUUUACAGAACUGCCACUUUCCUGGAGUCUCAGAAUUACAAUGUGUUAGGUUCUGAGAGAUCUAAGAUUCCAAAAAAUGAUUUAAUUAAAUACCAUGAAGUAUUGUGAAAUACUAUAUAUUAAGACUUUAUAUAUAGGCUUUAUGAACAGAUUAGAGUGACACGUGAAGGACCAGCACCGCCUCCUCUUGUCUGAUGGUAGGGGGAAUAUAUUUUCCAGAAUCCGGGAUUAAGAUUUAGGAGCUCAUUUUUAUUCCACCUCCUUUCCUGAAAGUCUGUCUUGCAGAAUUGACUAAAAAUUAAUCUUCACAUUAAUUCCUAAUUAUUUUGCAAUUAUUUUUGUCAGUUCUUCUUGACCUGUUUUUUUUUUUUUCUUCUUCUUUUCUGACCUCAUGACCCAGUCAGCAUUUUUGUACAAUGGUCAAGUCUUAACUUAUCUAUUUCUGUAUUCCAUUUGUGUUUGAUAUUUCUCAUGGGUAUUUCAUAAUUUUCGACUUUGAGUUAAAACAGUUUGAGUUAAAACUCUUUUUUAGCGCAUUUCAUCUGUAAGAAAACAUGCCUUAUAAUUCUGCACACAUGAAUAUAAGGAGUUUUUCUCUUCCAGCUUUCCAGGACUAUUGUAUAGCACUCAUAAAUGAUUAAAUAAAAAAUAAUGGUAGUUAUUAAGAUUGAUAUGGUUUGGAAUUGGUAAAAUGUGCUUGGAAAAAAAUCACAA